AAUUACUAGUCUUAGUCCAUAUAGCGACUCAUCGAUGAUCCAGUAUUCUGCGGCACUAUCUGCGAUUACAGAAGAUUGUCUUUAAAAUGUUAAAUGGGAAACAGUUCUUUACCGUGAUAUCUUUAAUGGGUUCCGUAUAUUGUUUGAUGAAAAUAUAUAUGCUCCAGAGUCGUAUGUUCCCUGACGAUUGGCAGAAAAUGCUUAAAAAAGGGGGAUUUGCAGCAGAUUACAAUGAAGAUAAAGUACAACCUGAAGGUAAAAAAGAAUAAAAUAAAUGAGGGUAAUAAAGGACAGAUUUAUUUUUUGAUGCUUACACGUAAUAAAGCAACAUUUGAUAAAUGAAAUCUGAAUUGGUUAAAUACUACUACUGCUACUACAUAAUUAUUUGAUGAAUGAAACAGAACAUGAUUCAUCUAAAUUAUACUGGUGUGUGUUUAUCUACUGUGUACUCUGUGCUGUCUGUGAUGCUUCUGUUAAAGGCCUGAUGCAUCAAUUAACAUUAUAGGCCUGAUGCAACAAUUAACAUUAUAGGAAUGUCUAAAUGAAAUCUCAUCAAUGUAUGCUGCUCGAGUGUAACAAGAUGCCACCAUAGGCCUAGUUUAAAUCCAAUUUAAUCCAAGCUGAGAGAUUAUCUAGAGUUGGCAUUUUGGUUUCGUUUUCUUAAUUAUAAGCUAAAUAAUCAAUCUGAGUACAUAUUUGGUGUGUAUUAAGCCGUGAGAAAUUUGAUAUUUUAGCAAAAAUGCAAAUGGCGCAUCAAGACUUUAAGAAAGAGGAAAUUCCAGCUAUAUAUUAAAUCUUGACUGACCUACAGUAUGAAAUCAACAACUGUGUUUGCAGAUGUAUCAAUAUAGUGCAUUUACAAACCAUAAUUUUAGUUCAAUAGUAAUUUAGUUAUUAUAUGUAGCUAAGCUAUAAGAAAGACUUUAAGAAAGAGGAAAUUCCAGCUAUAUAUUAAAUCUUGACUGACCUACAGUAUGAAAUCAACAACUGUGUUUGCAGAUGUAUCAAUAUAGUGCAUUUACAAACCAUAAUUUUAGUUCAAUAGUAAUUUAGUUAUUAUAUGUAGCUAAGCUAAUGCAUCUGCACAAUGUCAAGGUGAAAAUGGUACCAUUGUAAUUGAGAAAGAAAAAUUAAAUCAGAUGUUUUCUUCAGAACCAAACUCAUAUUUUAUUUUUUUCAGACAAAUUCGUUUCAUCAUUCAUUUUAGUUCACUUCCUUUAAUUUUCAAAUAAUUUAAUUUGUAUAAUCUGGGGCCCCUGCUGAACUUAAAGCGACCUCCCUCCCCCUCCCCCACCCCCACCUCACCCCUGACCUUGGUGUUGUGGCUUCCAACUGGUUGUGUGUUUGUCAGACUUUUGGAAGUAAUUUUAUGCUGAGUGAGAGAGACUUAUUAAGUGGUAUUCAAAUUCAUUUUAGGAAUAAAAUUAGGAAUAAAUGUUAACAUUUCAAUGCUGUAAAUGAUAACUAUCAAUAACAGAAUAGUCAAGAGUGUAUGUGUGUAACUGACUAUUUGUUGUGACAUUUGCAAUAUCUAAUAAGUUCCAUGCCUCUAAUAUUAUUUGAUUUACAGUGUUUGGAAUAUGGUUUAAUUAUGUGUAAAUAUAGAAUUGAGUAAACAUUAAAACAAAAAUUUUAA